rnacentral:rRNA from 1 species
GAUGAACGCCGGCGGCGUGCUUAACACAUGCAAGUCGAACGAAGCUGUUGUUUGGAAACCUUCGGGUGGAAGAAUAACAGACUGAGUGGCGGACGGGUGAGUAACGCGUGGGUAACCUACCUUGCACAGGGGGACAACAGUUGGAAACGACUGCUAAUACCGCAUAAGACCACAGUACCGCAUGGUACAGGGGUAAAAACUGAGGUGGUGCAAGAUGGACCCGCGUCUGAUUAGCUAGUUGGUGGGGUAAAGGCCUACCAAGGCGACGAUCAGUAGCCGACCUGAGAGGGUGAUCGGCCACAUUGGGACUGAGACACGGCCCAAACUCCUACGGGAGGCAGCAGUGGGGAAUAUUGGACAAUGGGGGAAACCCUGAUCCAGCGACGCCGCGUGAGUGAAGAAGUAUUUCGGUAUGUAAAGCUCUAUCAGC